UAGGGCAGACUGCGUUGCUAGCAGCUGAGUGAAGGCCGAAAGGGCCAAUGGAAACGUUAGACGACGCUCGGGCCUCUGGGUAGAGCGUUGGUGUCCGCUUUCGUGAAAUCGAGUUGCCUAACCCAGAGCUUUCCCGAGAUGGUCUUCGUUACAGGUGUCUGGGAGGCGGCUUAAGCUCACUUCACUAGGUCAUUAAGCAUGUACUUUGGUGGUUACAUAUAUCUUGGAAGUCACCGGCUUUACAUUCUGUUUUCCUGGCCUUCGAACUGGAGCAUCAGUACUACCGCCGUUGGAAUAGCAACCUAGAGACUUUGCUAUUUUGUGAAGAAACUCUAACUAUCCGCAUGGGCACAGAAUUUUGGGUGCUCUGGUGCAAAUGUCUCAGGUGACUUGGCGUAACUGAGAAUACAGCCUUGGGACCUUCGGUAAUCGGGGUUCCAAUCUGGGAGGUCCAGGCACAACCCUUCCUAUGGGAAAGUACCAGCAUAGUGGGAGGGAAGCACACGGUAGCGCUUAAAAUCCCUUGUAGAGAGGAAAGAAGGAAAACUAGGCUACCUGAUGGAUUUGUAGCACACCAACAGUACAUUUGUUCUGAUUUCUGAUAUUCUUUUGAAUAUUCUUUGGCAACAAGUUAAUCACUAACAGGAAAGUCCACGGGAUUUAAGAGCUCCAUGUCAGGAACGAGAGUGAAGACCAAACAUUAGAACCAAAGAUUCUCCUAGCACCCCUGUAACUCAGGAAAUUACAAGGGUGUUGGGAGCUCUAGGCCAGAGACUAGAGGCAGAGACCAUAUAUAUAUUUCUUACUUCACAACAGGAAAGGAGAGAAGGUCUCUGAGGAAGUGACAUUCCAGCUGAGACGUGAAGGAUAAGUAGAAACCAAGCAGAAGAAUUGGAAGAGGAAAGGGAAGAGGGAAAAGCCUGUGCCAAUGCCCUGAGAUUGGAAUAUGCUUUUUGUGUUUAAGAAAUUAACAGAAGAUCUUGGGGACUGAGCCAGAGAGAAGACCAGGCUCCAGGAACAAGGAAGAUACUGUCCAGAAAUGGUUUAUUCAUAGCAACUUCAAGGAGAAGCACAUCUCUGGCUGCCCUCAGUACACUAAGAGAAUCAGACCUCAGAGGUGGCUGCAUUUUAUUGUUGGGGAUAAGAAGACUGCAAUUCAGGAAGACAUAUAGUAGUCUAUAAGUGAUUCAGGACUGGAACUCAGUUAUCCUAAUUCCCUCUCGGAGGCUCUUUCCACCAUGCCAUCUGCUCGUCUGGUGCUUUCCAUCCAUGAACUCUGGAAAACAAGCUUGAGAUACCAAAAUUGAAAAGACAGCUCAUCAAAAAUGAAUAGUUAUAAUUCUAUAAGUACAAAAAUGAAAUACUCAAAUCUCUUGCCCCCCCUCCUGCUAGGAGCAUAAAUGUUAACCUGAGUUCUCUAGCUCUGUACAAAUCCACAGCAAUUAAGACUGCACUGUGAGGGAAAAUACUUUUCUAAAAAAGAAUCCUGAUCAAGUUGAAACAAAAAUUUUAAAACAUGAAAUGGAAGGAACGAA
rnacentral:lncRNA from 10 species